rnacentral:rRNA from 1 species
AUGCCGCCGCCGCCGCGCACCCUCGUCGUCCUCCUCCUCGCCGUCAUCGCCGUCUCGGCCCAUGGCCGCCUGCUCGCCUCCGACGGUCUCCCGGGGCAGGGGAGCGCGUCCGACGCCACCGUGCUCCGCCUCCCGUCGGCGGGGCGGCCGGUCGGGGAGGCGGAGGAGGGCGGGUGCGAGAUGACCUACGGCUUCCUGCCCUGCACGGAGACGGCGGGGGGCAACCUCUUCCUCGCGCUCGCCUACGGCUUCCUCAUGUUCAAGUCCGCCACCUACCUCUCCUCCGGCAGCGAGCUGCUGCUCGAGAUCCUCGGCCCGGGGAUCGUCGGCGGCCUCUUCCUCCCCAUCCUCGGCGCGCUGCCGGACGCCUUGCUAAUCCUCGUUUCCGGCCUCUCUGGCACUAAGGAGGUUGCUCAAAGUCAGGUUUUGAUUGGAAUGGGCCUGCUGGCGGGAUCGACGAUCAUGCUUUUAACCAUACUUUGGGGAUCUUGUGUUAUUGUCGGUAAAUGUGAUCUGUCAGAGGAUUCAACUACAAUCGAUUCCCAGGAUACCAAAGCCUUCAGUCUUUUUGGCUCUGGUGUUUCCACUGAUUUGCAGACUAGCUAUGCAGCAAGAAUCAUGGCGAUAUCUGUUCUCCCCUUUAUCGUUGUUCAGAUACCGCAAAUUCUGAAGCUCAAAUCUGGUCAUCGCUUAACUCUACUGCUUGGGCUUAUAGUUGCAGUGCUACUUCUGCUUACUUAUUGCCUAUACCAGAUCUUUCAGCCAUGGAUCCAGAGGAGAAAAUUAGAAUAUUCAAAACUGAAGCAUGUAAUGUCUGGGCUUCUGAAACAUGCUCAAAUGCAUACUUUUGGUCACCUUAUCGAUGAUGAUGGCACACCAAAUGUUUCUGUCAUAGAGAAGUUAUUUCACAAAAUUGAUCUGGACAAUGAUGGAAGGAUAGGGCGUGGUGAACUACAAGCUUUCAUCGUUGGUGUGAAUUUUGAAGAUAUUGAGUUGGAUAGUAAUCUAGCUGCAGAUCAAGUCAUGGCUGACUUUGAUAGGUCUCGGAAUAGUUCCAUUGAAAAGGGAGAAUUCGUUGAUGGCGUCCUUAGAUGGCUGGAAGAAGCUAAGCGUGUUGUUGCUGGUUCUGGCGCCUACUCAAAAAAGUUUAUGGAUGAUUUUCACAUUACAACAGGGGAAGAACAUAAUGCACUGCUUGACAAGCAUGAAGAAGAUGAUGAAUCUAUUGAAAAUCCAACCUGGACAUGCUUCAAAGCCAUUUCACUUUUGCUUCUCGGAACUGCAAUGGCAGCUGCAUUUGCAGACCCACUCGUUGAUGCUGUGCACAACUUUUCAAGUGCUACCAGUAUACCAUCUUUCUUCAUUUCCUUCAUUGCGAUGCCCUUGGCUACUAAUUCCAGCGAGGCUGUCUCAGCCAUUAUCUUUGCCAGCCGAAAGAAGCAACGCACUUUGUCUCUAACAUUCUCUGAGGUGUAUGGUGGAGUGACCAUGAACAACACGCUCUGCCUGGCUGUGUUCCUGGCUCUCGUCUACAUCAGGGGCUUAACUUGGGACUUCUCAUCGGAGGUGCUCGUCAUCUUCCUCGUGUGCAUCAUCAUGGGCCUCUUCACCAGCUUCGGGACCAAGUUCCCGCUGUGGACGUGCUUCGUCGCAUUCCUUCUGUACCCACUGUCGCUGAUCUUGGUUUACAUCCUCGACUACAAGUUUGGCUGGUCGUAG